rnacentral:misc_RNA from 1 species
UACGAAGGGGGCUAGCGUUGUUCGGAUAUACUGGGCGUAAAGCGCACGUAGGCGGCGCCGUAAGUCAGGGGUGAAAUCCCGGAGCUCAACUCCGGAACUGCCUUUGAAACUGCAGUGCUAGAAUCCUGGAGAGGCGAGUGGAAUUCCGAGUGUAGAGGUGAAAUUCGUAGAUAUUCGGAAGAACACCAGUGGCGAAGGCGACUCGCUGGACAGGUAUUGACGCUGAGGUGCGAAAGCGUGGGGAGCAAACAGG